rnacentral:rRNA from 1 species
CAUUAACGAGUUAGGGUCUCUCUGGCCCGACCUCCCAACCCUUUGUCUACUUGACCAUCGUUGCUUCGGCGAGCCCGUCCUCACGGACCGCCGGAGGGAUCUUUACUGGCCCUCUGGUCCGCGCUCGUCGGUAGCCCAACCUUUAAAAUCUUUAACUAAACGUGCCUUAAUCUAAGUACAAUUAUUAAAUAAAAGCAAAACUUUCAACAACGGAUCUCUUGGUUCUGGCAUCGAUGAAGAACGCAGCGAAAUGCGAUAAGUAAUGCGAAUUGCAGAAUUCCAGUGAGUCAUCGAAUCUUUGAACGCACAUUGCGCCCUUUGGUAUUCCGAAGGGCAUGCCUGUUCGAGCGUCAUUAUCACCCCUCAAGCCCUCGGCUUGGUGUUGGACGGUUUGGUGGAGGCCCCCUCGGGGGUUCCUGCCCCUCCCAAAGACAAUGACGGCGGCCUCGUUGGACCCCCGGUACACUGAGUUCUUCACGGGACACGUAUCGGACACAUGGGUUUACGGGACACGGUCUGCCUCCCCUCAGGGAGAAUCUUUCUAAGGUUGACCUCGGAUCAGGUAGGGAUACCCGCUGAACUUAAGCAUAUCAAUAAGCGGAGGAAAAGAAACCAACAGGGAUUGCCUCAGUAACGGCGAGUGAAGCGGCAACAGCUCAAUUUGAAAUCUGGCCUCUUUGGGGUCCGAGUUGUAAUUUGUAGAGGAUGUUUCGGG